GAACAUCUGUGCAUCUACAUAUGAUUUUAGGGCACUCCACACUGAGGAUAGCAGCUCAGCUUUCUGCUGAAGUUGAUGGACAGGGACUUAUACGAAGAUGGGAGAACGCUAAUUAAAAAACAAACAAAAACAAAAACACCCCAGACCAUCUCUAGCAACAGACUGCUAUUUGUACAGAAAUUUUCAUGACCUCGUGCUCCAGAAUUUAGUAGUAAAAAGAAACACUUUACUAUUCUUGAUGGCAUAAGAGACAUGUUAUCUACAGGAGAGGAGUGGAAGACCCUAGGUAUUCUUGUACUCUGUUUUUAAGGACUGCCUUACUGAGCCUACACGGAUCACAGAAAGUAAGGCUGAAGGAGUUGAGAGAUGCUACAAGUCAUCCUUUCCAUCCACAAAGAAGAACAGCUAAAUCUUGUCCUUUUCCUCACAUUCCUUCAUCUGAAUGUUCCUGGGAACAAGGUUCCUUCUAUAGUCAUUUGAAAGAGAUGGACUUCUCCUGAAGGCACCUCAUCAACCCUGAAGGUAAGUGUUUAAAAGAUGCAAGAGAUAACAUCCAUCUUAAGUGGGACGCUUGCUUUUUAGACUGAUACAGUAGAAUUCUUCCAGUUGUGCUUAGUGAUAG
rnacentral:lncRNA from 1 species